rnacentral:rRNA from 1 species
UACGGAGGAUCCAAGCGUUAUCCGGAUUUAUUGGGUUUAAAGGGUGCGUAGGCGGACUGUCAAGUCAGCGGUAAAAUUGAGAGGCUCAACCUCUUCCCGCCGUUGAAACUGGUGGUCUUGAGUGGAUGAGAAGUACGCGGAAUGCGUGGUGUAGCGGUGAAAUGCAUAGGUAUCACGCAGAACUCCGAUUGCGAAGGCAGCGUACCGGCAUCCAACUGACGCUGAGGCACGAAAGCGUGGGGAUCAAACAGG